AGACUGCUGAAACCCGGAAGUAGUGGUGGCCAUAACAGGUCGCGUCUUACACAACGCACCGGGCUGCAGCAAGUCCUGCGGAGAGGAGGGGGGUGGGAGGACCCUGCGAGCCCUCAGCCAGCCGCACCGAGAGCUCAACAACACCGGGAGUAACACACAAUAUCCACCAAAGACUCCGGUCCGAGUCUCAUCCUCACUAACUGACUUCAUACUGCCGUCCUGUAAACACAGAAACAUGUGAAUUAGUGGAUUUACGCACCAAGCGUCAUGAAAAUAGCUUAGAAAAACGACUCAGCUGCUGAUGUGAGCUAUUGUCAGCAGCGUCGAAUGGGUCGCUCCAGUUUGCCCGGGCUGUCCAAUGGCAGGGAGGCACAGCGAUGGGAGCCCCCUAUUGGCUCCCGACGUGAUCGAUCCGGGGGCUGAUGGAUCGCUUUUAGGCCACAUUGGCGAGGAGACGCACAAACAAAACAUCAUCCGCGGCGCGUCUAGCCAUCGAUCAUCUGCCCCCGGUGCCAGAAACGGUGUCAUAACAUGAUAAUGCGGCUUCACACAUUCGGCGGUGAUUCCUGCGGUAAAAAAAAAAAGCCGAGCUGGGAUCCGAUGGGACGAUUUUACAAGCAUGAAAUGACGAUCAAAGCCUCCCGCAGUCCGAGAGCUCCGGGGCUGCGGGCAGCACAGGAGCCACGAGGCGCGGACUUUUACGCACAGAGACCACGGAUCAAAAAAUAAACCGAAGAGCGCGUCAACUUUACCAGUUCUGUUAUUUAUUGGUGAGUAGAAGCUCCUGUUUUCUGAUUGCUUAUUGUUUUUAUUUUAUUUUGAUGGAAUUGUAAAUAAUUAAAAGGCGCAUUGAUGCCACCAUAAAUGUUUUCUUCUAAUUGGUUUAUUUCUAAUUAAAGGGUUUAAAAUCCCACUUUCUGCUGAAUUUGUGGGUUUUAGUGGAGCACAGCUCACUCCACCACCACAAGCUCCACUGAUGUUUUAAACGAGGACUAAAUUCACAUGAAAGGAGUCCAGAUCAGCGCCUGCUCACUGUAAAAUAACCACCACGGCAUUAUAAAGCAAUUAAGCUCCUCCAAUUAGCAGCCAUAAAAUAUAUUUUUAAAAAAAGCUCCACUUUCUCUCCUCGGAGUUGCUCUUUCGUGAGGGUCAGCGCGUUUUGCUAUCCUGGAAGAGAGCAGGGGGGCAAAUACCGUCACUUCUGCUUAAUCCGCUUUGCGCUGACGGUAAUGCUCUGAGUCGUUUCAAUAAAAUCAGCAGGUAUUACUUUCAAACGGCUGAAUGCAAAUUGACAGCAUGUUUGACUGGCCAAACAAAUGAAAGCCUUAUUAGACGGCCUGUGCGUCCUGACUUAUGCAUGUGUGGACACAAAGAGAAACUGUAGCCUUUAUGUUAGAUUAUACAGAAAAAUAUCAAUUUAAAAAAAGAAAAUAAUCCGCUUUAUUCAAGUGACUUUAACAUCUAAAAACUGAAACUCUAAGCUGUGUAUUCCUCUUUAUGUUCCAUUUUAAUAAGUUUUAACUACUUGCAGGUAUUUGUGUUGCAAGAAAACAAAAGUGUGACGAUUAUUUGAAUUGUUUGUGAGUGAUAAAGACAGAAAGCGCUGCAGGUCAGAGAUGUGAAUCAUUGGCUCAGUCUUUGUGAUCGCCUGGAUCACCGCUGGUCUGUUUGAAAAAAAACACACACAAGGAGCAACUGGCAGCCUGAGGAGUCAAACUGAGGUCAAACUUUCUGCAGCCCCGCAGCUCUGCGCCUAAACAUGUUGGGAUCCGCAACCCAAAAAAAAAAAAAAAAGAAAAGAAAAGAGAGAGGAGGCCACUGAGCCUCUUUCUGCUUUGUGUCACUGCAGCAGCAGACUCACAGACCUGCUGCAAAGUUUGAACACUUUAUCUAAUUAUAUGAAACUACCACUACAUUAUCUCCUGUCAGGAAACAUCCAUCUGGAGCUGGAAUUAUUCAGUCAGAGGAGAGAGAAAAGGCAAAUAAUGUGGAGAUUUCAUCCAAAAAUUAGUGUAAUAAGCUGAAAUACGAGGUGUAAAAUCACAUUCUCGACAGAACAGCAUAUAUUCUCCAUCAUUAUUUACUAAUUCAUGAUAGUAAAUAAAAGUGUAGAAAUUAUUUUUAGCACCUUGUUUGUCUAAAUCCUUAUAAACCAAGAUGGGGUGUGAUUUUUUUUUUUGCAUGAUUUUCUAAAUAGAUAAAAACACAUAUCUUGGGAGUGUCUCUAAAAACAUCCUGGCUUUUCUAAAAUCCUGACUCUGGCGUGAUGACAGGAAAAUAACAGAACUCAGAAUUAAUUUCAACCCAUGAAAUCAGCUACAUUUUUUAUUUUUUAUCAGGGGGUAACUCUGUCCUCUGGGAGUUUUGGAUCCUGCAGUUUGGUCCAAAUGUUAACGUGGAGCUGCUCUCUGCUCUCACACACAUUAAUGCUUAAUCAUGUGCGCCUUCUACCGGAGCUGCAGGGAAUUACACCUGCAGCAGAGGGACGGAGGAGGCUCAGGUCGGUCUGAGAAGAUGCUGAAAGUCUGCAGCAUAAAUGCACUGCUGGACUUCCUGUCUACAUCUGAUGCAUUGUCAGUGUUUUUAUCCUCUAUAUAUCAUACAUAACGCUGACAAUACUUGCAGUUUACUCACUGUUACAUUCACAAAAUCUGCAAGUAUCUUCAUGUUUUGCACCUUUUUCUCAUGUGCACCUUCUAUUUAUAUAUUAAACCUGCACACCUUACUAACAGCUGCACCUUAUGUGUACUUUUUGCACUAUUUUGUACUUUCAACCUGUAAAUUGUCAUGCAAUAUCAGUCACAGUGUUGUUUUUAUAGCUUUUAACACACCAAAUAAGUGAUCCUUACAAAAUAAAACAGAUUACACUUGUGUAUUUAUUUUUCCACUGUCCUUAUUGCACUUUAUAUAUUUUUAAAAACUGUUGUGUGAUUGUGUGAAUGCACUGACAGGGUUGCUGCUUAAUGACAGUAAAGUGUUUCUAAUAUAUUCUUUUAUUUAAUAAAGACAUGUCUUAUUUCUCAUGAUCUCUAUUUGUGUAAAUCAUUUAAAAUACCAAUAAAAUAUGCAGUAGUGCCACAUGCGUUUCAGUGUGUUGCCUUUGAUUGCAGACAA